GGGGAAUUUUGGACACUGGGCGCAAGCGUGAUCCAGCCAUGCCGCGUGAGUGAAGAAGGCCUUCGGGUUGUAAAGCUCUUUCGGACGGAAAGAAAUCGCCGCCUCUAACAUAGGCGGUGGAUGACGGUACCGUAAGAAGAAGCAUCGGCUAACUACGUGCCAGCAGCCGCGGUAAUACGUAGGGUGCGAGGGUUAAUCGGAAUUACUGGGCGUAAAGCGUGCGCAGGCGGUUUUGUAAGACAGGCGUGAAAUCCCCGGGCUCAACCUGGGAACUGCGCUUGUGACUGCAAGACUAGAGUACGGCAGAGGGGGGUGGAAUUCCACGUGUAGCAGUGAAAUGCGUAGAGAUGUGGAGGAACACCAAUGGCGAAGGCAGCCCCCUGGGUCGAUACGGACGCUCAUGCACGAAAGCGUGGGGAGCAAACA
rnacentral:rRNA from 1 species